GUGCUCACUUUAGCAGCCCAUAUACUAAAAUUGGAACGAUACAGAGAAAAUUAGCAUAGCUACCCACCGUACAAGGAUGACUCGCAAAUUCAUGAAGCAUUCCAUAUUUUU